UGUCUUUUAGAGGCUUCACCAUGGCCCCAUCUCUGUUCAUCCUCGCUCUUUUCAUUUACUGCUCAGGUGUCAGUUCCCAGGCAACUGGGAUUCAGCCUGCCUCUGAGUCGGUGUCCCCAGGACAAACGUCUAAAAUCUCCUGCACUGCUGGUAACAGCAAUUAUGCCAUUCCCUGGUAUCAACAGAGAUCUGGACAAGCCCCUCGCUUUGUGCACUGUGAUGCUUGCAGCAGCAGGGGACCCGGGAUCCCUAACCGGUUCACUGCCACCCGCUCUGGGAAUACUGGUUAUUUAACCAUCACCAAUGUCCAGGCUGAAGACGAGGCUGAUUAUUACUGCAGUAGAUGGGACAGCAGUGGCAGCACCUUACACGGUGGUAAAACCUUAUGGGGAACUGAGACAAAAACCUUGCCUCUUCCUCCCCAGAGUGAGGAACGUGAUCGACAGAAAAGAACUUCAUAUGCUUCGUCUCUGCAGCUGUUCUCUGGUCAACCUUACAAUGGACAGAGCUGGAAGAGCCAGAAAAGCCUCUUGAAUUCCCACCUCCUUCUGCAAAGCAGGACCAUUGGCCACCAAUCCAGUCCACAGAGUGACACAUGGAAAGUUCAAUGA